ensembl:lncRNA
GGUUGAGGAAUAUGGUGCUAGGCUUCACAUCUCUGUUUCUCUCACAAUAUUUACUUUUAAAACAGCCUUGCUAUUUACCUUAACAAAAAGAUUAUAUCACUGAGAAGUAAUUAUGUGUAUUAUUUUAUGAAAAAAGAAAAGUCUAUUUUUGUAACUGAGGGAUAUUUGCUUAGAGAAGUUAUGACAUUUCUGACAGAAGGAGUUGGGGAAAUAUCUAGUAAAAGAAAAAAAAUAAGAAAAACGUUUACGUGGAACUGCAUAGCUCACGAAAAUCAAUAGGUCGUUCACUAAAUGUCUUACCCUUAUAUUAAAAAACAGAAGACGUUUGUGUUUUCGUCGUUACAAAGGGGGGGAGAGGGGAGUUUCGGCAUUUCAAACGCACCGCUCACAGCAGCGCGGCAGACUUGUUACGUUACAUCUGUCGAUCUCAUCUCGGCGCUUCACAGUGGAAGUAGCUAUCGAUGAUGUCAGCGCGGACGGAGGAGGCAAGCCAUGACAUCCACGGUCACCUGAAGCAUUAAGUCCACCUGCUUUCCUCUGUAGGACCAAACAAGGCUGUCCAGGGCUAAUCUCACUUAUUCAUUUGCUCUCAGAUGACAGCUGUUAUUCGUUUGCCGUCCACCAUGUCAGUGGAAGUGAGUUGAGGCGCGCUCUCUGAUAAAUAAAAACAGGCCUUGCACAUCUCACUCAGAGGGCAGCGGCGGUAAGCCUUUCAUUUCAAAAUGAGUCGGAAGAUACCGUGCAGAAACGUGCUAACUUAUGAGAUGUGUAGUUCUUAGUAUGAAAGUAACAUUUAGAGGAUUAUAUUUUUUGAGCUAAUGACCAAUAACCACCUGAAAACCAAUAGCCUUUUAGAAUCAAUCCCUUCCAAACGAUAUAAUUAAUGCUUAACAGUGACAAGAAUUUAUUUUAAAAAAUGCUAAUUCAGUCUCAGUUUAUAUAUAACUACAGUAGAGAUGCUACAUUAGAUCAAAGCAAGCUAAAGCCUACCAUUCUCAGUCACGAAACUGGUACAGUGUCAUGCAGUUCAGAUCUGUUCUCGCAUAGUAAGAUUUGAAAUGUCGGUAUUUUGAUGUUGCGAACCUUUGCAAGUCAAGCCAGCGAUGGAUCUGAAACUGAGGAACGUGAACGCUCACACUGCCAGAGGUUUCUUCCUGUUAAAAGGGAGUUUUUCCUUCCCACCGUCACCGAGUGUGUGCUCACGAGAGGCGACAGGAAGCUUUCCAUUUUCCGGGGGGUUUCUCCCAAAUUUGGGUCUGCACCUCGCAGUAAAAAGCGCCUUGAGAUGACUGUUGUUGUAAUUUGGCACUUUUUCACCCACAUUCCAUUUAAUCAUCUUGACACAGCGAUCGAGACCAUAAAGGUUUCCUGAGAGUGCAGCUCAUGCGACAGGUACGGUCAUUUUUUCCUGAGUUCUUUUCACAGCCAGAGGAGUCGUCUCCACCUGGCCAUUAGCAGGAAUGCUUUUCUGCACUGGCACUUACGUUUGAGACGCAAAGGCUUUGUCCAUCUUCUAUAUGCAGCCUGUGACUCAGACCCAUGAAGGCAGCCUGUGCACUUACUCCUCCUGCAGCUGUGCCAUAAUAUUUGAUCUCUUUAAAAAAAACACACACGCACACACACAAACUAACCUCAUACUAAAAUACCUGCAGCAUCUCAUAGAUGUUUAACUUAGUGCCAUAAAAUAUGCAAUGUUAUGAAUCUUUAAACAAUAAAUUACAUUUGUGUUCUGCCCCCCCCCCCCCGCCAUCUAUUUUCAAAAACUAUAUUUCAGAUGAUUCCUGGAUUUUUUCUGUAAACUGAGAAUUUUGCAUUUUGACUCUUUUUUUUUUUUUUUUUUUUUUCUUUCAGUCACCCUACAAAUCAUUGAGAGCCAGGCCUGCUUUUAUCCACUCCACCUGUCCCUCCUGCCAAAAGUAACACGGAUUAGAGUGUAUUGUGCUCUUUGAUGUGGCAUUGUGUAAAUAUGAUCAAGACAAUAACACGAUUAAGAUGAAGACAAUCUAGCCAUAUUCAUGAAAACCGGUGGUCAUUAUUCACAACGCCUCUCAAAGUAGAAAUGCUACGCGUCCAAUCCAAGAGAGAUUUCGACUGGAGUCCGAUGCUCAGCGCUCCAGCUUUUGGGAAGCCGUGGGAAUGCAAACUUUUUCUUAGCGGGGGGGGGGGGUGAUACGCACUAUUGUUUCACAACGACGAAUUGGGAGCUUUUCUGGUGGCUGGCGUGGUUUUGACGAGUGACACGGUGACAAACGGUGAUGAAUAACAACGACAAUAUAUAGCACAGAAUUAUUCCAGGCACUUUCACGACUCGUGAGACGACGUCUUUCCUGUUUUCUGAUUUAUUUUCUAUUAUGUAUCUGCAAUGUUCAUUAAAAGAGAUACUGUUAUUAUUAAUAAAACCACAUUUAUGGUAAUGUUACUUCUCAGUUGUUGUGUAUGCUGUGUGUGCAGAGUGGGU